CCGUGCUAGGCGGGGAGGUAGCGGUGCCCUGUACCCGCAAUCCGCUCUAGCGGGGCCGAAUCCCCUCCCGAGGGGCCCUCGGCUCUCGAGGUCAGCGCGCCGGCCGACGGCGUCGAUGGCCGGGUCCCGCGCGUUGUCGGCCCGUGAACCAGGUCAGAUCCGGAAGGAAGCAGCCUUAAGCGGUAACCGGCAGGCGCAGCGGGCAAGCCCGGCCGGAGCCAGAGCCGGAGGCGCGCUCGAGGGCCCGCCUCGACGGAGGGUGCACGG
rnacentral:SRP_RNA from 1 species